GCCUGGGUGGCUCAGUCGGUUAAGCGUCCGACCUUCGAGGUCGACCAGGGUCAGGAUCUCCUGGUUUUGUGGGUUCAAGUUCCGCCUCGGGCU
rnacentral:tRNA from 1 species